AGCAUAUCAAUAAGCGGAGGAAAAGAAACCAACAGGGAUUGCCCUAGUAACGGCGAGUGAAGCGGCAACAGCUCAAAUUUGAAAUCUGGCAACAGCCCGAAUUGUAAUUUGCAGAGGAAGCUUCUGGUGAUGCACUGUCUAAGUCCCCUGGAACGGGGCGCCACAGCGGGUGAGAGCCCCAUGUGAUGGCUGCAGACCCAGUGUGAAGCUCCUUCGACGAGUCGAGUAGUUUGGGAAUGCUGCUCAAAAUGGGAGGUAAAUUCCUUCUAAAGCUAAAUAUUGGCCAGAGACCGAUAGCGCACAAGUAGAGUGAUCGAAAGAUGAAAAGCACUUUGAAAAGAGGGUUAAACAGCACGUGAAAUUGUUGAAAGGGAAGCGCUCAUGACCAGACUUGCGCUGGGCUGAUCAUCCGGUGUUCUCACCGGUGCACUCUGCCCGGCACAGGCCAGCAUCGGUUUUGGUGGGGGGAUAAAGGCGCUGGGAACGUAUCUCCUUCGGGAGUGUUAUAGCCCAGCGUGCAAUACCCCCGCUGGGACCGAGGUCCGCGCAUUCGCAAGGAUGCNGGCGUAAUGGUCAUCAGCGACCCGUCU
rnacentral:rRNA from 1 species